rnacentral:tRNA from 1 species
GGAGAGGUGCUGGAGUGGUUUAACAGGUUAGUCUUGAAAACUAAUGUGGCGGUAACGUCACCGUGAGUUCGAAUCUCACCCUCUCCG